GGGUUCUACCGUCGGUCGGGCUAACAAGUCUGUACUGGUGUGUAGAAUUUCUACCUUCUGGGGAACUAUCAUGUUAUUAAUUUAGCGUGGUGGGAAACCAGGACCUUUACCUUGAAAAAAUUAGAGUGUUCAAAGCAGGCUUACGUCUGAAUACAUUAGCAUGGGAUAAUAGAAUAUGACAUUGGUCUUAUUUUGUUGGUUUCUAGGGCCAAAGUA
rnacentral:rRNA from 1 species